UAAUUGGGGGUGUAAAGGCACAGUAAAUUUUGAUUUUAAAUGUAAUGAUUUGGUCAUUCCAGUUAA
rnacentral:tRNA from 1 species